rnacentral:rRNA from 1 species
ACGAAACUGGCGGCCGGCUUAGACUUGCAUGUCGAGCGGGCGAGGUUGCUUCGGAUGAGUGUCCUUGCGGCGGACGGGUGAGUAAUGCUUAGGAAUCUGCCUAUUAGUGGGGGACAACAUUCCGAAAGGGAUGCUAAUACCGCAUACGUCCUACGGGAGAAAGCAGGGGAUCUUUAUGACCUUGCGCUAAUAGAUGAGCCUAAGUCGGAUUAGCUAGUUGGUGGGGUAAAGGCCUACCAAGGCGACGAUCUGUAAGCGGGUCUGAGAGGAUGAUCCGCCACACUGGGACUGAGACACGGCCCAGACUCCUACGGGAGGCAGCAGUGGGGAAUAUUGGACAAUGGGGGGAACCCUGAUCCAGCCAUGCCGCGUGUGUGAAGAAGGCCUUUUGGUUGUAAAGCACUUUAAGUGGGGAGGAGGCUGACCUGGUUAAUACCUGGGCUAAGUGGACGUUACCCACAGAAUAAGCACCGGCUAACUCUGUGCCAGCAGCCGCGGUAAUACAGAGGGUGCGAGCGUUAAUCGGAUUUACUGGGCGUAAAGCGCGCGUAGGUGGUUAAUUAAGUCAAAUGUGAAAUCCCCGAGCUUAACUUGAGAAU